AGUGAACGCUGGCGGUAGGCCUAACACAUGCAAGUCGAACGGCAGCACAGUAAGAGCUUGCUCUUACGGGUGGCGAGUGGCGGACGGGUGAGGAAUACAUCGGAAUCUACUUUUUCGUGGGGGAUAACGUAGGGAAACUUACGCUAAUACCGCAUACGACCUACGGGUGAAAGCAGGGGAUCUUCGGACCUUGCGCGAUUGAAUGAGCCGAUGUCGGAUUAGCUAGUUGGCGGGGUAAAGGCCCACCAAGGCGACGAUCCGUAGCUGGUCUGAGAGGAUGAUAAGCCACACUGGAACUGAGACACGGUCCAGAAUCCUACGGGAGGCAGCAGUGGGGAAUAUUGGACAAUGGGCGCAAGCCUGAUCCAGCCAUACCGCGUGGGUGAAGAAGGCCUUCGGGUUGUAAAGCCCUUUUGUUGGGAAAGAAAAGCAGCAGGUUAAUACCCCGCUGUUCUGACGGUACCCAAAGAAUAAGCACCGGCUAACUUCGUG
rnacentral:rRNA from 1 species